rnacentral:lncRNA from 1 species
UUUCUGUCUAACACAUAAGCUAAUCAGUGCAUAAUGUGUUAGUUCCAUGAUGAACGAAGUUAAAAAUAUCCCUGUAUUCGUCAGUCCCAUUUAUUAUUCAGUGUAUGGUUUGCGUGAGACCAUGCCUGCUUGGCAUAACCUCCGAGUUGACUGGUAACAGCCUUAUUACACAACUUUCUCUCAAAGCCUGUCCUACCAGAUUUCUUUGGCAACAAACCAGACCAAAUUCUUGGCAAUGCUUUAACAAAGAAAUUGUUGCAGCCGUCUCCCCUGCUGGUGAUGACCAUAUGCAGCCAAUGCUGAUGUGAACCCGAGUGAUGAACAAAUGCAGAUCUGCAAAGGAGCUGUCCUGAGGCGCCAUGCUUACUCAAGUCAUGCAGCGAGAGUCAGCAUGCCUGGAAAAGUACUUCAAAGCACACCCCAUCUGGCUGACUGCACUACCUCAAGAAAACUGCCUUUCUCCCAUCUGCAAGUUCCUAAGAAGUUACUUUAUGAAGCAAGCCAGCAGGGCGUACGUGUGAGGCAUGGCAGCACGGAGAACAAAUAAACAUGAGUAUUUGGUGCAAGAUGCAUUCAUUGAUUUCGUGCUGCAUCAACGUGUGGCUGCAUGCUUGGCCACGUGUAGACACAGCAUGUAAACUCGUUAACCUCAAUGGUAAAAGGUGGUCUAUAAUCACGUUAAGAAGCACGAUGUCUUAUUUUUGUAAAUAAUUGCAUAGCUCGACUUUGACUCAGGCGUCCAACACCCAUCAUUAUCUACCCAUUAUC